CGGUUUGAGAGGUCCGUUUGGGUCAAUUUUUUGUGACUGGAUAGUGAUUAGACGGCCUAUCCGAACGUUUGAGGAGGGUUUGAGGGGUCCGGCUCUAGAUGCUCUGAGAUUGACUAUCCAAACGGCAACGGUAAACCCUUCAUCUAUAACGUGUGCUGCCUGUGUGGCUCUUCUGAAGUCUUCUCACGCACCCCUCAUCUACGGCGUGACGAUCAACUGGGUGAUUACCUCAGUUCCCAUGAUGGCGAUCUUCUCUACACGAUGUGCAAGCUGAAACCCGAGGCCCUAGCGGAAGCACACGCACAUCGGUGUCAAUCCGGGAACAGGCAUCUCCACAUUGUAAGAUGUAACAUGUCAGUAAACAUCAUGGCACGAUACCUAGGCCUUUGGUUAUUUUGACGCUGCUGAAACAAUAACUUGUUCCUUUUCAGACCAAGAAACAGUGACUUGUGCCAUAUAUU
rnacentral:lncRNA from 1 species